GUGUGGGGGUUACCCACCUCGUGCCGCCGCAAGGCAUUAAUACUCUUCCUCGGGGGACGCUCGCAAGAGGAAAAUAAAAGAGAAGAAAUGGGGAGGGGCACAAGUAGCGGAGGGACUGGUUGAUUUAGUAGCAACGAGAAGAACAUCCCUUACCUUGGAUAUCCUUCUCCCGAAUUAUUAGUAACAUUUUAACCCUCGGGGACCGAAGUGACAGGUGGUGCAUGGUUGUCGUCAGCUCGUGUCGUGAGAUGUUGGGUUAAGUCCCGCAACGAGCGCAACCCUUGCCCUUAGUUGCUAGCAUUAAGUUGGGCACUCUAGAGAGACUGCCAGGGUUAACUGGGAGGAAGGUGGGGAUGACGUCAAAUCAUCAUGCCCCUUAUGUCUAGGGCUACACACGUGCUACAAUGGGUGGUACAGUGGGCAGCCAUGUCGUGAGGCGGAGCUAAUCCUAUAAACCCAAUCCUCAGUUCGGAUUGUAGGCUGAAACUCGCCUACAUGAAGCCGGAGUUUCUGGUAAUCGCAUAUCAGCAAUACG
rnacentral:rRNA from 1 species